rnacentral:misc_RNA from 1 species
GAUGAAGAACGUAGCGAAAAGCGAUAAGUAGUGUGAAUUCCAGAAUUCAGUGAAUCAUCGAAUCUUUGAACGCACAUUGCGCCCCUUGGUAUUCCAUGGGGCAUGCCUGUUCGAGCGUCAUUUGUACCUUCAAGCUUUGCUUGGUGUUGGGUGUUUGUCCAUUCUCUUGCAGAGGGACUCGCCUUAAAGUAAUUGGCAGCCAGUGUUUUGGUUUUGAAGCGCAGCACAAGUCGCGAUUCAACGCUAUACGCCAGCUUCCACAAGCCUUUUUCACUUUUGACCUCGGAUCAGGUAGGGAUACCCGCUGAACUUAAGCAUAUCAAUAAGCGGAGGA